rnacentral:rRNA from 1 species
CCUACGGGUGGCUGCAGUCGAGAAUCUUCGGCAAUGGGCGCAAGCCUGACCGAGCGACGCCGCGUGCGGGAUGAAGGCCCUUGGGUUGUAAACCGCUGUCAGGGGGGAGCAAGGCGUAAGCUUGAGCGAGCCCCAGAGGAAGCACGGGCUAAGUUCGUGCCAGCAGCCGCGGUAAUACGAACUGUGCGAACGUUAUUCGGAAUCACUGGGCUUACAGGGUGCGUAGGCGGCCUUUCAAGUCAGGUGUGAAAUCCCCCAGCUCAACUGGGGAACUGCGCUUGAAACUGGAGGGCUGGAGGCAACUAGAGGUGCAUGGAACUUCCGGUGGAGCGGUGAAAUGUGUUGAUAUCGGAAGGAACACCAGAGGCGAAAGCGAUGCACUGGGGUUGUUCUGACGCUGAGGCACGAAAGCCAGGGGAGCGAACGGGAUUAGAUACCCGUGUAGUC